rnacentral:rRNA from 1 species
AAGAAAGCUUGCUUUCUUUGCUGGCGACCGGCGCACGGGUGAGUAACACGUAUCCAACCUACCCUUUACUCGGGGAUAGCCUUUCGAAAGAAAGAUUAAUACCCGAUAGCAUAAUGAUUCCGCAUGGUUUCAUUAUUAAAGGAUUCCGGUAAAGGAUGGGGAUGCGUUCCAUUAGGUUGUUGGUGGGGUAACGGCCCACCAAGCCUUCGAUGGAUAGGGGUUCUGAGAGGAAGGUCCCCCACAUUGGAACUGAGACACGGUCCAAACUCCUACGGGAGGCAGCAU